rnacentral:rRNA from 1 species
UACAGAGGUGGCAAGCGUUGUUCGGAAUUACUGGGCGUAAAGCGUGCGUAGACGGCUAUCUAAGUCGGGUGUGAAAGCCCCGGGCUCAACCUGGGAAUUGCAUUCGAGACUGAAUAGCUAGGGUACGGUAGAGGGAAGUGGAAUUUCCGGUGUAGCGGUGAAAUGCGUAGAUAUCGGAAGGAACAUCAGUGGCGAAAGCGACUUCCUGGACCAGUACCGACGUUCAGGCACGAAAGCGUGGGGAGCAAACAGG